GAAACCUGGUUGAUCCUGCCAGUAGCAUACGCUUGUCUCAAAGAUUAAGCCAUGCACGUCUAAGUAUAAGCGAUUAUACUGUGAAACUGCGAAUGGCUCAUUAUAUCAGUUAUAGUUUAUUUGAUAGUACCUUACUACUUGGAUAACCGUAGUAAUUCUAGAGCUAAUACAUGCGUAAAGUCCCGAUGGGAUGU
rnacentral:rRNA from 1 species